AUAGGAGGCCUUACCUGCCCAGUGACUACAAGUUAAACGGCCGCGGUAUAUUGACCGUGCAAAGGUAGCGCAAUCACUUGUCUUUUAAAUGAAGACCUGUAUGAAUGGUUAAACGAGGGCUUAACUGUCUCCCCCUUCAAGUCAAUGAAAUUGAUCUCUCCGUGCAGAAGCGGACAUAAAAAUACAAGACGAGAAGACCCUUUGGAGCUUAAGAUAUAAGAUCACCUAUGUCAAGAGAAUUAAAAAAAUCUAAACCAAAUAGAACCUUGAUCCCUAUCUUCGGUUGGGGCGACCACGGGAGACAACAAAGCUCCCACGCGGACUGGGGAACUUCCCUAAAACUAAGAGAGACAUCUCUAAGUCACAGAAUAUCUGACCAAAAGAUCCGGACACUAGUACCGAUCAACGGACCAAGUUACCCUAGGGAUAACAGCGCAAUCCCCUUUGAGAGUUCAUAUCGACAAGGGGGUUUACGACCUCGAUGUUGGAUCAGGACAUCCUAAUGGUAAAGUCCUACGUGAUCUGAGUUCAGACCGGA
rnacentral:rRNA from 1 species